rnacentral:rRNA from 1 species
UAAUGUAUGGGGAUCUGCCCGAUAGAGGGGGGAAACUACUGGAAAACGGUAGGUAAUACCGCAUAAUGUCUACGGACCAAAGCAGGGGGCGUCUUCGGGACCUUGCACUAUCGGAUGAACCCAUAUGGGAUUAGCUAGUAGGUGGGGUAAAGGCUCACCUAGGCGACGAUCUCUAGCUGGUCUGAGAGGAUGAUCAGCCACACUGGGACUGAGACACGGCCCAG